GGAUUAGAUACCCUGGUAGUCCACGCCCUAAACGAUGAUAACUCGAUGUUGGCGAUAGGCAGCCAGCGUCCAAGCGAAAGCGUUAAGUUAUCCACCUGGGGAGUACGCCCGCAAGGGUGAAACUCAAAGGAAUUGACGGGGGCCCGCACAAGCGGAGGAGCAUGUGGUUUAAUUCGAUGAUACGCGAGGAACCUUACCCGGGCUUGAAAGUUAGUGAAGAAUGCAGAGACGCAUUCGUCCUUCGGGACACGAAACUAGGUGCUGCAUGGCUGUCGCCAGCUCGUGCCG
rnacentral:rRNA from 1 species